CGGACACGAAAACCACUUCGUCAUGAAAAGCCGUCUGCAUAAUGAAACACAUCCAGGUCAGUUAACGCAGGGCCAUCUCAGUGGGCUGGUACAUAUGGCCUCUGAAGGGGAUCCCAGGACGCAUCCCCCCAUGUCCGUUAUGGCGACUACAAGGUGACCGUUAUCUGACGUGUUGGCGAGCUGUGCGCACAGCAGAUCGCACGCUCACCAUAAAUAACGGACUGUAUAAAAG